rnacentral:misc_RNA from 1 species
UCCGAGUUGACCCCGGCAGUCUCCUACGAGUCCCCGGCAUUACCCGCUGGCAACAUAGGACAAGGGUUGCGCUCGUUGCGGGACUUAACCCAACAUCUCACGACACGAGCUGACGACAGCCAUGCAGCACCUGUGCACGGACUCCGAAGAGGAACCGAUGUUUCCACCGGCUUUCCCGUGCAUGCCAAGCCCAGGUAAGGUUCUUCGCGUUGCAUCGAAUUGAGCCACAUACUCCACCGCUUGUGCAGGCCCCCGUCAAUUUCUUUGGGUUUUAACCUUGCGACCGUACUUCCCAGGCGGCACGUUUAACGCGUUGGCUACGCCACAAAAGGGGUCGAUUCCUUUUACAGCAAACGUGCACCGUUUACAGCUAGGACUAC